rnacentral:lncRNA from 1 species
UCAUUCAAGAUCAAGAUUCAUAUUCAAGUUCAUUUUCAAAUUCAACUUUGGAGGAAAAAACAUAUUUCUUAAAACACAAGUUACAUACACCAUUCAAGGACCCAUUUCAUUACAAAAUCCAAGAAAUCAAAAUUACACAAAAAAUUACAUCUUUUGACCUAAAGUUAACUUUUGGUCAAACAGUUGACCAAAGUCAAACUACCUAAUCCUGCUUUUUCUUCAUUCACAAGACAUCACAUUUUGUGAUCCUUUGUGUCUCCAAGGUAUUCAAGACUUCUUCAUAUAUCAUGACUUGUUAAACUUCUCCAUGAUCCAUAUCUUGAUUCCAUGCCUUGCCAUUUGAUGACCCUUGCCAAAACCUUCAUGAACAUUGUCUCAUAUCAAGCCAAGUACACUCCUACCAUAUGCACACCAAUCCUGCAAAAUCACACCAACAGACAUACACAUAAUUAGCAUUCAUGCAUUUACACAUCAUGUAAGGCUAACCAUUACAAGUCAUACUCAUUGCAACUUAUGCCAUCCAAACAAGUUGACACACAUAGCUUCAUUCAGUGCAGUUAGC